AGCUCUGUAGUUUAAGAUUAAAACUCUAAAUUGCAAAUUUGGAAAUAGGAAUGUUCCCUCAGGGCGU
rnacentral:tRNA from 1 species